UACGGGGGGGGCAAGCGUUGUUCGGAAUUACUGGGCGUAAAGGGCGCGUAGGCGGCCUUCUAAGUCGGACGUGAAAUCCCUCGGCUUAACCGAGGAACUGCGUCCGAGACUGAAAGGCUUGAAUCCGGGAGAGGGAUGUGGAAUUCCAGGUGUAGCGGUGAAAUGCGUAGAUAUCUGGAGGAACACCGGUGGCGAAGGCGGCAUCCUGGACCGGCAUUGACGCUGAGGCGCGGAAGCUAGGGGAGCAAACGGG
rnacentral:rRNA from 1 species